rnacentral:rRNA from 1 species
CAAGUCGAACGAUUAAAGCUCCCUUCGGGGAGUGCAUAAAGUGGCGCACGGGUGAGUAACACGUAAGUAAUCUACCCUCGAGUGGGGAAUAACGUCCGGAAACGGACGCUAAUACCGCAUGAUGCAGCGGCACCGCAAGGUGACAGUUGUUAAAGAUUUAUCGCUUGAGGAGGAGCUUGCGGCAGAUUAGCUAGUUGGUAAGGUAAUGGCUUACCAAGGCUACGAUCUGUAACCGGUCUAAGAGGACGGUCGGUCACACUGACACUGAAUAACGGGUCAGACUCCUACGGGAGGCAGCAGUCGGGAAUUUUGGGCAAUGGGCGAAAGCCUGACCCAGCAACGCCGCGUGAAGGAUGAAGUAUUUCGGUAUGUAAACUUCGAAAGAAUAGGAAGAAUAAAUGACGGUACUAUUUAUAAGGUCCGGCUAACUACGUGCCAGCAGCCGCGGUAAUACGUAGGGACCAAGCGUUGUUCGGAUUUACUGGGCGUAAAGGGCGCGUAGGCGGCUUGUCAAGUCACUUGUGAAAUCUCUGGGCUUAACCCAGAACGGCCAAGUGUAACUGACAUGCUAGAGUGCAGAAGGGGCAAUCGGAAUUCUUGGUGUAGCGGUGAAAUGCGUAGAUAUCAAGAGGAACACCUGAGGUGAAGACGGGUUGCUGGGCUGACACUGACGCUGAGGCGCGAAAGCCAGGGGAGCAAACGGGAUUAGAUACCCCGGUAGUCCUGGCCCUAAACGAUGAAUACUUGGUGUCUGGAGUUAUUAGUGCUCCGGGUGCCGUCGCUAACGUUUUUAGUAUUCCGCCUGGGGAGUACGCUCGCAAGAGUGAACUCAAAGGAAUUGA